AAGGGUAUAGCUCAGUGGUAGAACACAUGCUUAGCAUGCACAAGGUCCUGGGUUCAAUCCCUAGUACCUCCU
rnacentral:tRNA from 1 species